ACGAACGCUGGCGGCAUGCCUAACACAUGCAAGUCGAACGAAGCCUUCGGGCUUAGUGGCGCACGGGUGCGUAACGCGUGGGAAUCUGCCCUUGGGUUCGGAAUAACAGUUAGAAAUGACUGCUAAUAUCGGAUGAUGUCUUCGGACCAAAGAUUUAUCGCCCAGGGAUGAGCCCGCGUAGGAUUAGGUAGUUGGUGGGGUAAAGGCCUACCAAGCCGACGAUCCUUAGCUGGUCUGAGAGGAUGAUCAGCCACACUGGGACUGAGACACGGCCCAGACUCCUACGGGAGGCAGCAGUGGGGAAUAUUGGACAAUGGGGGCAACCCUGAUCCAGCAAUGCCGCGUGAGUGAUGAAGGCCUUAGGGUCGUAAAGCUCUUUUACCAGGGAUGAUAAUGACAGUACCUGGAGAAUAAGCUCCGGCUAACUCCGU
rnacentral:rRNA from 1 species